UUUCGGAGCACAAUACCCUCGGGAAACUGAGGCUAAUAGUGCAUACCACAAUCCACCUGGAAUGAGGAUGUGCCAAACGCUCCGGCGCCGAAGGAUGUGGCUGCGGCCGAUUAGGUAGACGGUGGGGUAACGGCCCACCGUGCCAAUAAUCGGUACGGGUCAUGAGAGUGAGAACCCGGAGACGGAAUCUGAGACAAGAUUCCGGGCCCUACGGGGCGCAGCAGGCGCGAAACCUUUACACUGCACGACAGUGCGAUAAGGGAAUCCCAAGUGCGUAGGCAUAGAGCCUACGCUUUUGUACACCCUAGGGUGGUGUACGAAUAAGGGCUGGGCAAGACCGGUGCCAGCCGCCGCGGUAAUACCGGCAGCCCGAGUGAUGGCCGAUCUUAUUGGGCCUAAAGCGUCCGUAGCUGGCCGCACAAGUCCAUCGGAAAAUCCACCUGCUCAACAGGUGGGCGUCCGGUGGAAACUGUGUGGCUUGGGACCGGAAGGCGCGACGGGUACGUCCGGGGUAGGAGUGAAAUCCCGUAAUCCUGGACGGACCGCCGAUGGCGAAAGCACGUCGCGAGAACGGAUCCGACAGUGAGGGACGAAAGCUAGGGUCUCGAACCGGAUUAGAUACCCGGGUAGUCCUAGCCGUAAACAAUGCCUGUUAGGUGUGGCUCCCACUACGAGUGGGUGCUGUGCCGUAGGGAAGCCGCUAAACAGGCCGCCUGGGAAGUACGUCCGCAAGGAUGAAACUUAAAGGAAUUGGCGGGGGAGCAC
rnacentral:rRNA from 1 species